UUUUUUCAGGGAGGAAUAAAUGACGUUACCUGAAGAAUAAGCAUCGGCUAACUCCGUGCCAGCAGCCGCGGUAAGACGGAGGAUGCAAGUGUUAUCCGGAAUCACUGGGCGUAAAGCGUCUGUAGGUGGUUUAAUAAGUCAACUGUUAAAUCUUGAGGCUUAACCUCGAAAUCGCAGUCGAAACUAUUAGACUAGAGUAUAGUAGGGGUAAAGGGAAUUUCCAGUGGAGCGGUGAAAUGCGUAGAUAUUGGAAAGAACACCAAUGGCGAAGGCACUUUACUGGGCUAUUACUAACACUUAGAGACGAAAGCUAGGGUAGCAAAUGGGAUUAGAUACCCACGUAGUCCUAG
rnacentral:rRNA from 1 species